CCUACGGGAGGCUGCAGUGGGGAAUAUUGGGCAAUGGGCGCAAGCCUGAUCCAGCAACGCCGCGUGAAGGAAGAAUGCUUUCGGGUUGUAAACUUCUUUUGUCAGGGAAGAGUAGAAUACGGUACCUGACGAAUAAGCCACGGCUAAAGACGUGCCAGCAGCCUCGGUAAUACGUAGGUGGCAAGCGUUGUCCGGAUGUACUUGGUGUAAAGGGCGUGUAGUCGGGUUGACAAGUCAGAUGUGAAAUCCUGGGGCUUAACCGCCAGACUGCAUGUGAAACUGUUGAUCUUGAGUGCUGGAGAGGCAGAUGGAAUUCCGAGUGUAGCGGUGAAAUGCGUAGAUAUUAGGAGGAACACCAGUGGCGAAGGCGGUCUGCUGGACAGCAACUGACGGUGAGGCGCGAAAGCGUGGGGAGCAAACAGGAUUAGAUACCCUAGUAGUC
rnacentral:rRNA from 1 species